UUUAUAAAAAAAAAACGGGAAUAGGGAGUGGUGGGUCAAGCUAUGUCGACGGUGGCCACGUCAUGGGGCAUAAAAAAGAGAGGACCCGUUUUCGCAUCAACGUUCUACCCCGUCAUGCUCAUCUCCGCCACCUUAUUCGAUUUCAUCAUCUUACACCGUCAACUGUACAUCGGAAGUAUACUCGGUUCCGUCGUCUCUAUAAUGGGCCUCUACGUGUUUCUCUGGGGCAAGAACAAAGAUAUCGAGGCCGUGGCCAAGUUGUCUUCGCAGAAAGAGAACGACGAACAUGUUAAGACCGUAACUGAAGACGAUGAUACGAGGUUACAAGUUUAAUAUUCAUAUAAUCCUCUGUUUGUUAUUGAAUAAAGCAUGUAUUAUAUAUUAUUAUUGUUAUCUGUUCCUACACGGGAUUCAUCAGACGAUCAUAAUAAUAAUUCUGAUCUCGAUUUUUGUGCA